GUCAAGAAUGACAUUUUUGAACAUAACAUCAACUUAAUAAGUUUGUAAGUAGAAAUAUAUUUAUUGAACAAUUGAUAGUUUGAUGACGUUAAAAACCGAUAGUGUAAUUAGAUUAUAAAGUUCCUAUUUUAUUGUGAGAAAAUGUAAGAUUUGCAAUUGCGACAAGAACCUAAACACAUGAUUUAGAUAUUUGUUGUUUGUUUUACCAUCCGUAUGCGGGGUUCGCAAUGUGCAGAUUAAGCUCCCGUUGGAGAUCAGAGAUCUCUAAGACACGAAAUAUAACAAAAAAGUCAGAUAACUAUCCUCCCUCAUCUGGAAUAGCCUAAUAUUGUCUUAACGAAGUAGUAUACGUUCGCAAUGCGGCGUUCACACAUUGCCGAUUAUUGCUCCCGUUUGAGAUCAGACAGCAAUAAGACACAAAAAAGGAAAAGUAGGAUUUCUAUCAUCAAUUAUCUGGAAUGUCCUAUCAUUGUGUGAACGCAGUCGUGUAAGUUCGUAAAAGAUUCCUACGGGUCGGGAAUGGUUCGGAUAGUUUGGCGGAUCACCCCGACAGUUAGGUUUAUCCCGUAUCCCGUAACAUUCGGGGAAAAUCAGCCGUGUUUUGUUAGUCGGAUUACAAGCGUAACUUUGUCAUGACAGAUUCUGCUGUAUCGGAUAAAAAUCCUAACAAUAUUCGGUGUUUUCUGGACGGUGUCCUAAGGAACGUGAAUGAUCUGGAAAAAAAUUUCAUUGCUGUUUUUCUACCGAUUGAGUCCCAGAUCUGGUCGAAUGCGACCCGUCUUUGCCGAAACCGUUCCGGAACAUCCCAUUAUUAAAACGAAAUUCGUCAAUGAUAUCCACGUCAGAGUCUCGACAAUUACAAAACGAUAGAGACAAGACAAAGCCAUUUGCAAUGCAGUAGAGCUGACCAUGAUGGGAUUACGUUCCGACAGUAUCCUAUCAUCCCGAAUAUGUUGACAGGUUUUUAAUGGAUUAUUAUGCGGAUAAGUUCGUUCCGUCAGUGUCGGUUCACUGUCUUGUCACUUUCUGAUAUCUGUCGGAUUCCAUGCGGUAGAAUCGGGACGCAGUCGUGACAGACUCGGUCGAAGAUACCGAUUGGAUUAGAAUCAGAUUAAGAACGGGAUCAUCGGGACAAAUUCGCUAGGAAACGGUUGAGUAUUGACGCUCCCUAAACAAAACCUGAUUGUUAUAUAUCGUCAUUUUGUUUUACAAUUUUAAUUUUAAUUUCACGAUUCACAAGAUCUUGAUUAGACUUUUGAUAAAUUUUAAUCGGGAAUGGUCCUGUUAAAGACGGCAGUAAAAAUCGUGAAUAUGUGACCCCAGCUUCACAGAUUUCUACAGAUCGAGAAUAGUUCGGAGAGGUCAAGCAUGCCGACAGUUUGGUAUGUUCCGUAACAUUCGAGGAAACUCGGCCAAUUUUGUCUAAUCGGAUUUCAAUCGUGAUUAUGUCGUGACAGAGUCUGAUGUAUUGGAUUAGAAUCGUAACCAUUGUCUGUGAUUUCUGGUCGUUGUCCUCUGAAAAAUGCAUGAUCUGAAAAAAUUCUUAGGCCAAUUGAUUCCAGAGUUAAUCCAUAUCCACCUGAAAGCGAACCGUCUUUGUCGUGAAUGUUGCGACAUUGUCCCAGUAUAAAAACAAAACGCAUCAAUAAUACACACGUCAAAGUCCCGACAAUUACAGAACACAGCCUUGUAAAUGCGGUACAGCAGACUGUGAUAUGAUUGCAUUCCGAUAGUUCCUGAUCAUCCUGAAUAUGGCGACAGUUUUCUUACCUGGAUGAUCAGGUACUGUCGGAAGGCAAUCCUAUUUCAGUCUGCUGCACUGCAUUGCAAAUGGUUUUGUUUGGACUCAGUGGUAUUGUGUUUUGUAAUUGUCGGGACUCAGACGAGGAUAUAAAUGACGUAUUUCGAAUAAAUAACUUGACUGUUCCGGAACAGUUUCGUCAGAGACGGUACGCAAUCGGGAUGCAAUCUGGACUCAAUCGGCAAAAAAAACAUGAAUGACAAAUCUCUAGAGAUCAUGUCCGUUCCACAGGACACCGUCCAGAAAACACAGAAUAUUGUUACGAUUUUGAUCCGAUUCACCAGAAUCUGUCACGACAUAAUCAAGAUUGUAAUACGACUAAACAGAAUCGGAUGAGUUUUCCAGAAUGUUAUGGGACAGACCUAACUGUCGAGGUGCUUGGUCGACCUAUCCGUUCCGCGGGAGCAAUGCUUUGCACUGUGUAAACGCAGCAUUCAGGUUUGAAUUUGCAGCCACGAUUCACAGGAUCGUGAUUAGACUUUUGACAAACUUUAAUCGGGAAUAGUCAUAUCAAGGACGUCAGUAAUAAUGGUGAAAAUGUGAUCCCAGCUUUACUUGUUAACGUUGUCAUUAGUUAAUUUAAUUUAAACAUAUUUUAUUGUUCAAAACAAAUGGAUUAGACACAAGUUUUUCAACUUUGUUCCGUCAUUAGUUAUUAAAGGCACCAGGUUUAUAAUUUGAUAUGUCAGACGCACGUUUCGUCUACAAUAAGGCUCAUUAGUGACGCUCAGAUCAAAACAGUUUAAAGCCAAACUAGUACAAAGUUGAAGAGCAUUGAUAACCCAAAAUUCUAAAAAGUUGUGCGAUGUUGGUACAUAAAAUUUAAAAAUUGAUUCUUAGUCCAUUGUUUUAUAUCGAAUUUUAUACUGGGUCGAUGCCACUGCUGGUGGACGUUUCGUCCCCGAGGGUAUCACCAGCCCAGUAGUCAGCACUUCGUUUGACAUGAAUAUCAUUAAUGGUCAUUUUUAUAAAUUUUCUGUUUACAAAACUUGAAUUUUUCGAAAAACUAAGGAUUUCUUACCGCCAGGAGUAAUUCCUAGCGUAUUUGCACAACUUUUUAAUUUUGGGUCCUCAAUUCUCUUCAACUUUUAUUUAUUUGGCUUUUUUUAACUAUAUUGAUCUGAGCGUCACUGAUGAGUCUUAUGUAGACGAAACGCGCGUCUGGCGUAUAAAAUUAUAAUCCUGGUACUUUUGAUAACUAUUCAUACAAUAGAGCAAAUAUUGUUUUUAUCAGUAUUUUGCAACUUAGUUGUUUAAGAAUUGUCAAAGGUUAAUAAUUCCAGCGGUGAUUGUUAAUUUUGUAAGAAAUGAUUGUUUUAUUAAUGUCUUUGUCUAUAAAUACAUGUAAAAGGUGUUUUCUGGACGGUCAGAUAAUAACAAGUCCAUUUCAUCUUAAACUAGGGUUCUUUAUUCAACAAUGAUAUAAUCAUAUAAUUAUAAACCCUACAAAAUAUAACAAGAUACAUAUUAAACACAUUAAUCUAAAAAUACUAUAUUAUAACGUGUUACAGUUAUUAUAACAUUACUGCAGAUCAACAUAAAAUCAGAACAUUGAAUGUAUAUAGUUCUUAUACAAUAUUUAUACACAAGGUGACAUGACAUGCCUGAUGUUUAUUAAUAAUUGCAAAUAUUCACUCAUCGUUCAUAUAAAAUCAACAGCUUUGACAAUUUAACAUACUUCUAUAAUGUCAAGACCAUAUAACACUAUAUCAAUUAACUAAAUAAAUAUAUGUAAAUUCAUAUUCUACAAAUAACCAUAGCAUAUGUAUCAACGGUAGAUAACUCUAUAUUAUAUCAAAUGUUCUUCACUGUCUUACAUGAACACUAUAUAUUAUGCGAUUUCAAGUAUACAUAAACUCACCAGUCUGUGCAAAUGAGUUUAAUAACUAACAUCGACAGUCUAACUAAUACUAACAGAAACGAUCUUCAUACUUCUACAGUAAUGGUAACAGAGGUUCCCAUCAAAUAUGGUUCUGUAAACGAUGUAUGACAAUAAUAAGUAAUCUGACUUUAAUAUCUUAAAGGCAUUAUUCAAUUCAUAAUAAAUUAUACUAAUCUUUAUCUUUCGUCUCGAAUUCACAAUUAUAAAUAAGUAAUCUUAUUUCAAUACUAAAAACAUUAAGUACAAGUACAAAUGUCAUUUCAUGACUACAUGACAAAAGGUCAAGGUCAUUCAUAAAAAUAGAUUAAAUCUCACUUUCUAACAUUCAUACUAAAAUUUCUCAAAUAAAUCAGAUUCAAACAACACUCAAAGCACACUCUUUCAUAAAGCUGGGAAUCUUACCAAAAUGAAGGUAAUAGACAUUCAUUUUAAAGUUAAGGAUCCAGUUCAUCCAAGACACCUCAAAGAGUACAAAAUGUAACUUACCAUAUAAAGUCAUGAUGUCCUGUUCCAAAAUGGAUUCCAUCACUAUACUAAUCCAUAUAACUUAUGAAACUACUAAACAAACACAAUAUAAAGACUAUGAACACAAAGUGCAUCAAAUCAUACGAAUAUAUCAAGAUCACAACAAAGACAUCAAUCCUCCGUUUCUGUUUUCAAAACUACCACAAAACUGGGAGCAAGGCUUAAUAAAUUAAUCAGAAUACAUGAAAACCUAUACACUCUAGUGAACAGUGAGUACUGAUAGUAAAAUCAAUAAUAGGUAAAUGCUACAAAGUAAACAGUUAUAUAUUAUAGAUCAAUGAAUAAUCAAUAGGCAAUCAAUAGAAUAAAGGUAAACUUAAAUAAACUACUCUGCAAAUGAAAAAAUAUAAUUAAUGAUGUCUCGGAAUAACCUAUAAAACAUAUAAAAUAUAUAAAUGAUUAAAUGAUAAAAAUCCACACUACCACAUAUAUAUAUAUUUGAAAAUAGAAAAUCUUAAGAGUCAUCAUGGUUUACAAAUAUUAGACCACAAAUACGUUGUUAAACACGAAUUUCCAUGUAAAUGAUAUAUCAUUCUUGAAUUUCGAAAGACAGAACACGACAGUUGUUUUUAAGAUUCAAAGACGAUUUGAUUUAAAGUCACGCAUUACCUUAUGAAUAAGAUCUUAUUAACUAAAACUUGUGUCAAUUAAAAAGGCUUUUAUUAUUGUUUAUGUAAGCAGUUAAGGGAAAUGAAUUUUCUUCUUUUAAAUCUUUGCUUAAAGUUUGGAUUAUGUAUCAAUGAUAGCAUUUAACAUAUUUGACAUGUGAUGAAAUUCGGAAAUUUCAACACAAUGUUUAAUUUGAAUAUGGAAUUUUAUUCACCCUUCACCGGUGACAGAAUAAAAAAAAAGCAUUAUGGUUAUUUCUGCAUUAUUUUGUUUCAGAUAUUUGAACAGCAAUCAAAUAACUACAAUACAGCAUGGAGCAUUUCAAACCUUAUCAGCAAUGCAGCAUCUGUAAGUAUGCAUGUUUAUAGAAUAAUAGUUGUGGUAUGAGUGCCUUUGAGACAACUCUCUAUCCAAGUCACAAGGUGUAAAAAUAUGAAUCAUUAUAAGUCAACGUAUGGCCUUCAACUCUGAGCCUUCGCUCACAUCGAACAGCAAACUGUGAACGACCCCAUAAUGACUAGUGUAAAACAAUUGAAACUGGAAAACAAAUGGUGUAAUCUUUAUAAAAAAGAAAGGAAAAACAAUUAUGAACCACAUCAACAAACAAAAACACCAAUGAACAAGAGUUUCCUGACUAAGGAUAGGUGCAAACACAUUCAGCGGGUAUAAACGUUGACAGGCGCCAACCUUUUUCCUAAACUGCAACAGUAGUAUUACAUCACAACACAUAUAUGGUUUCUUAAUGACUAGAUAUGAUAUUGGCAUUAUUAAAUAUGACUUCAUUGAUUUACGUCGAUGUGGCUUUAGGCAAUGUGGGUUAAACAUUGAUGAAUGUUAAUGAAAAUACACGAACUACGGUUUGUUUCAGAACUUAAUAUGUGGUUAUGUUAUUUUGUUAUAUGUGUCUGUUUCAGCUUUUGAUAUGGUUUUGUCAUUAUAUGGGGACGAAGUCCCCAAUAACAGUAGAAAAAUCAAUAAAAAAAAAGAUAAAAAAAAUAAAAAUCGGGAAAUUUUUCCCGAAAUUUUCAAUGUACUUAUGAACUCAAAAUAUUUCAAUUUUUUUUAUGUCAUGUUUUGAAUUCCCGCAUCUGCGCAGAAACCUGAAAUAUACUUCCUUCUUCCUGUCUAGUUUGUAUGAAACUUUGAGUAAAAUAGAUAUUUAUCAGUCUAGUAUAAAAUAGGAAGGAACGCAAUACCAAUUUCAUCUUUAAUAAUUCCUUGAUAGAAAAAACCUUACCUGAUGAUAGCGUUUCUUUGUUUACAUUACAUAUGACGUCAUAACUUAAAUAACGUCACAACUAAAAUCCCUAACAACAGAACCUAAAUCGGAAACGUCACCAUAUCCAACUAUAGCAGUCAUCACGUGACUUUUACGACGUCACACAUCACCCAUAUUAAGCCCAAGUAAAAUGUAUAGAAAUGCAGAGGGGCUUUCAAGAAUCGAUAAAAUAAAGUACUUUAAGGUGGUACCCAACACUUUCACUAAAAUUAAUUUGGCUCGUUUAAUUUUCAUAAAAUUUUGUCAAAUUAUUUACUUUGACCCUUUAACAAAAAUAUAAAAAAUUAAAAAAAUUUGAACCAACCGUUUUAUCAGAAAAAUUAUACUGGUUAUAUAGCAGUUUGACAAACACCAAUUUUGAUCAUUGAGAAGCUUAAUAUUCCCUUUACAACACAACGUAAUUAAAGCGUUUAGCUGACUUUACAGAGUUAUCUUCCUGUAGUUAUAGGUUCCACCUUAAGUUCAUGAUACAAAAAGUGUGGGAAUAUAUAGUAAUUCCUAAUAUAUUAAGAAAUAUAUUGAUGCCUUUUGAAAAAAAUUAAACUUUGGUCUUCUCCCUUCAAAAUGCUUUUGAAAAUUUGUCUUGUUGCCUCGAUAAGUUCACACUGUUAAUCAUCCAAUUCUGAUAAAUAUUGGAUUUUAAGUCGUGUAAACCUAAAAUUGCGAUUUAAACAAAACAGAUGGAAUAAUUGUGGCUUAUUACUAUAUUCAUAAAUAUUUGAAAAAACGUAUAUGUAAUAGUUUAAUGUUUUAUUAUUUCCCUUCCAAAUUGAUUUGAAAAUCAGUUAUUUUCUGAAAAUCUGGUAUUAUUUUUCAAGAUGGCGACCUCAUUGACAGCGUGGGACGACUUGGUAAAAAUAUAUUUUGUAAGAUUGUUACAUUGAAAAUCAAAAAACCGUUGGAUGCUCGCGUUUUCAGUCAUUGUCUUACCUUAAGGCAGCAUAGAAUCAAAUUUUUGAUAAAGCUGUUACAUGCUGGUUUUUUUUUUUAUAAAAUUUUGAAAAAAAUGGCGACCAAAUAAUUUUCAAACGUGGACGAUGUUCGACACUUAUUUUGUACAUGCCGUAAUUCAAUUUAAUUUCAGUGUUUACAUUGCAAUUAAAUAUGACAUGUUCUAGUCACUAUAAUGAUAGCCAAGGGCAUAGCUAGAUAAAGGUGAUACUAAUUAAGUCAUAACAUCAACGUCAUCAAAGAUCGAAAAUAAACAUGGCACCUAUUAAUCACGAUGUAAGUUUUGACAAUACCUAAAUAAUAAAUAAUAAUAAUACCAAUGUAGAUUAAUUAGUGUUCUCGAUGCUAUUCAUUACGAUCUUAUUUUAUAUUUAUAAAAAAAGACCUCGAAUGGAUAUUAAAUAACCAAGGUGAAAUAAAUAUAUUCUUUAAUUUUCUUUAAAUCAUUCAUCGGGUAACUAGUAAAUUUUACAUAAUCCUAAUUAAAGCAGUAACAUACAGAGUUAUCGAACGUAAAUAUGACUGAAAUAGUUGCAUAUGGGUAUUCCGUCACUUUUUUUUAAACAAAUAUAUAUAUAAUAAGUUCGAGUUACUGUUUGCGUUAUUCAAUUCCAAAAAUCUUUCCGAAAUUAGAUUUAAAGUUCAAGUUUCUGUUUGCGUUAUUCAAUUCUAGAAAUCAAUCCGAAAUUAGAUUUAAAGUUCGAAUUACUGUUUGCGAUAUUCAAUUUUGAAAUCUAUCGAAAACUAGAGUUAAAGUUCGAGUUACUGUUUGCGUUAUUCAAUUCAAGAAAUCUAUCCAAAACUAGAUUUAUAGUUCAAUUUACUGUUUGCGUUAUUCAAUUUUAGAAAUCAAUCCGAAAUUAGAUUGAAAGUUCGAGUUACCGUUUUCGUUAUUCAAUUCAAGAAAUCAAUCCGAAAUUAGAUUGAAAGUUCGAGUUACUGUUUGCGUUAUUCAUUUCUAGAAAUAUAUCCACAAUGAAAUUUAAUGUGAGAGUCACUGUUUGCGUUAUUUAAUUCUAGAAAUCUAUCUGAAAUUAGAGUAAAAAUUCGAGUUACUGUUUGCGUUAUUCAAUUCUAGAAAUCUAUCCAAAAUUUAAUUUAAAGUUCGAGUUACUGUUUGCGUUAUUAAAUUCUAGAAAUCUAUCUGAAAUUAGAGUAGCAAUUCGAGUUACUGUUUGCGUUAUUCAAUUCUAGAAAUCUAUCCGAAACAAGAUUUAAAGUUCGAGUUACUGUUUGCGUUAUUCAAUUCUAGAAAUCAAUGUGAAAUUAGAUUUAAAGUUCGAGUUACUGUUUGCGUUGUUCAAUUCUGGAAAUAUAUAUCCAAAAAGAGAUUUAAAGUUCGAGUUACUGUUUGCAUUUUUCAAUUCUAAAAAUCUUUCUAAAAUUAGAUUUUUAAAGUUCGAGUUACAGUUUGCGUUAUUAAAUUCUAGAACUAUCCGAAAAUAUAUUUAAAGUUCGAGUUUCUGUUUGCGUUAUUAAAUUCUAGAAAUUAAUCCGAAAUUAGAUUUAAAGUUCGAGUUACUGUUUGCGUUUUUCUAUUCUAGAAAUUUUUCUGAAAUAAGAUUUAAAGGUCGAGUUACUGUUUGCGUUAUUCAAUUCUAGAAAUAUAUCAUAAAUGAAAUUUAAAGUUCGAGUUACUGUUUGUGUUUUUCAAUUCUAGAAAUUUUUCCAAAAUUGGAUUUAAAGUUCGAGUUAUUGUUUGCGUUAUUCAGUUUAAGAAAUCAAUCCAACGUUAGAGUAAAAUUUCGAGUUAGAUAACUUCAGUUAUCACUUGAGUUUUAGACACAUUUAAAGGUAGAGUUUUUUCGAGUAGUAUUUCAAAAUAUUUGAAAUAAGUACUAGUACGUAUUUCUUCACAGAUUCGGGUUUUAUGUUAGUAUUUCGACAAGGUUUUGAGGGCAUGUGUUAAGUGUGUUGACUAUUUGAAUUAAAAUAAAAUUAAGAAUGGAAAUUGGGAAUGUAUUAAAUGACUGAAUAGCAAACAAAACACCGAUUACCAACAGUAAGUUUUCAUCACAUCGGGAAAAUCUCACACCAGGAAGCGGCUUCAGGUGGCACCUAAGCAAAAAUGUGUGCCAGUUUAGUGGAAAUGGACGUCCAAUUCCAAAAAAUAUAAAUGAAGUAAAACUAGUCUAACAAAAUUAAUGUCAGAGGCUCCGGACAUUGGACAUGCGCGAAAAAGCGGCGGAGUUAAACAUGUUUUGUGAUAUCUUAACCCUCCCCGGAUACCUCUAGUAAAUGUGGACUAAGCAAACACACAGCAAUACGCACAGUAAAAUUCAGUUUAAAAAAAUUACCGAUUCCGAUUUCAGAAAAAGAAAAGGUAUCAAUAGAAACUAAACAUUUAACUACAAAUGUGAUUAAUUAACAGAUCAACAUAAACUCAUCAUAUAUACCAGGAAUAAAUUGUAUGCAUACGCCAGACGCGCGUUUCGUCUUGAAAAGACUCACCAGUGACGCUCCAAUCCAAAAAAGUUUAAAAGGCCAAAUAAAGUACGAAGUUGAAGAGAAUUCUGGACAAAAUUCCUAGAUGUUUUGCCAAAUAUAGCUAAGGUAAUCUACGCCUCAGGUAGAAAAGCCUUAGUAUUUCAAAAAAUAUAAAAUUUUGUAAAUAGUUUAUUUAUAAAUAUAACAACAUCAAUGAUAAUUUAUGUCAGCACAAACAGUGCUGACUACUGGGCUAGAUUUUUAUGGCGACCAAUUCUUCGAUUAUUUGAAUAAUAUCAUAUUAAGUAAUACAUCAUUGAUGUAGGAAGGUUUGUUCUUUAGCUAUUUUAUGAUUUAUUUUUCAGAGGUUUGGAUAGAAACAAUCUGACAUUUGUCAAGAAUGACACUUUUAAACAUAAUAUCAACCUAAGGAGUUUGUAAGUAGAAAUAUUAACCUAAUAUAUCUGUGUGUACAAAUAUGUUUAUUGAACGAUUAAUAGUGUCAUGAUGUUAACAACCGAUUUUGUAAUGCAUUAUACGUUUAUUUGGUUCCUUUUUCAUCGUGUGAUAAACGUGAGAUUUAGCAAUUGUGAUAAGAACCUUAGCAUGAGGUUGAAUGAAAUUGUUGAUUGUUUUAACAUCGCUACCUGUUUCCGAGGUACAUUUCAGUCUAUACUUUACUUAUGUGUAAAGUCGGCUAGUGUAGUUAUAAAAGGUAAUACUGUAACGUAUCUCUUGUUUUUUUACAAAUUUAUCACAGGAAUACAUAAUUAUAUCAUAGAUCUAUAUAACAAAAGAAAUUUAAAUAACAAAAUAACAAUUUGAAUUAUUCAUUUAUUUUUUAAAUGCGUACAAUUAGAUCACAGUUAGCUAGGUAUUGUACAAAACUGUUAUAGUUGGUAAUGCUUUUAAUUUUCAUAGCUAUUUAAGAUGUAAGAGAAAAAUAACGUACUGUAUAAGUGAAAAGGACGGCAUAAUUUUUUCAUUUAUUAAAUUAUAUAUAUAUAUAUAUAUAAUUUAAUAAAUGAAAUUUUUUUUUAUUAUUUCGGCAUUAUCAAAGGCAAUCAAAUGUUUUGCAGCUUCUAACAGUAGACAUCAAUAUAUAUAUUGAUGUCUACUGUUAGAAGCUGAAAAACAUUUGAUUGCCUUUGAUAAUGCCGAAAUAAUAAAAAAUUGGACUGGUAGUCCAUUGUUUUAUAUUGAAGUUCACACAAUAGAGCAUAGUUUGCCGGAAGUGGUCGAGUGGUCUAGAGCGCUAGACAUGAGGCUAGGCGAUUGGUGCUGUAGUGUAUCAAAGGUGUAAGUUCGAAUCCUGCAGAGGGACGGACAAAAAUUUAUCAGCAGAAAAAUCUAAUUCUAACAUUGUUGGGUGUAAUUUUCAGACUUAUAUAUAUAUUUUUAUAUAUAUAAGUCUGAAAAUAUUGAAAUAUCAAAUCUGGGAGCAAAAAUGGUAAAGAAAUAUUGUAAAACAACUACAUUGUUAAACACGAAGUUACACUUAUAAGAUUUAUCAUUCUUAAAUUUCAAUAAAAGAGCACGACAGUUGUAUAAAAAUUCAAAGAGUACUCGAUUCAAACUCAUACAUAACCACAUAUAUAAGAUUUUUAGAGCAAGACAUUGUGUUUCUUCAAAAGGCUAUCAUUUAUGUAGUAUUAUAAAAUAAUUUUGGUUUUGAUUAUAUUACAAUAAUACAUGUGAAACAUUGGACAAUGUUUGAAGGUAACAGGAUAAAUAAAAGCAUUAUGGUUAUCUAAGGAUUACUUUGUUUCAGAACGUUGCAAAUCAAUCAAAUAACUACAAUUCAACAGGGAGCAUUUCGAAACUUAUCAGCACUGCAGAGACUGUAUGUAUACAUGUAUAUAGAUAUACGAAGAUGUGAUAUGAGUGCUAAUGAGACAACUCUCCAUCCAAGUCACAAUUUGUAAAAGAUAAACCAUUAUAGGUCAAAGUACGGCCUUCAACACGGACCCUUGACUAACAUUGAGCAGGAAACUAUAAAGAUCCCAAAAUGAAAAGUAUCAACAGUAAAACGCGACAUGUUUAACACCUAUGAACCACAUCCACAAAUGACAACCACUGAACAACAGAUUACUGCCUCAGGUUAGGUCCAAACAAAUGCAGCUGGUUUACAUUUUUUAACAGGCGCCGACCUUUUCCCUAAUAGGCAAUAGUGGUUUAACACAACUACAUAGAAAGACACACUAUAACAUAUCAAUUGAAUAAUUAAUUCAAUCAAAAAGAUAUUUAACAAAAACAAUGUAGAAUAUGAUUAUUGAUCAACCAUGUGUUAGUUGUUCGUUUGACUUAACAUGACUUAUUGCUAUGGAAUGCUACGAUUGUUUUCGGGAAUACUAUAACAUUAGAUGUCAUGGUUUUUUAUUAUAACUUGAAAAUUUUUUUGUAUUAUAUAGUAUGGUUUUCACACUACAAAAUGAUGUUGUGAAAAAACUCAAAAUGGUUUAGUCUUUACUUAAUGCUAUUUUGAUAUUACAUGAUAUGGUUUUCGGAAUGACUUGAUAUGAUUUUGUAAUUAUUUAAUACAAUUUUGAUACUACCUAAUAUGAUUUCCAUUAUUAAAGUUGAUGUGAAUCUAGGCAAUGUGAUUAAACAUUACUUGAUGUGUAUACGAAUACACGGAAUAUGGUUGUUUCAGAACACAAAAUGUGAUUUCGUUAUUUCGUAAUGUUGAUGUGUUCGUUCCAGUUUUUGAUAUGUUUUUUUUUUUAUAUUUAAAUAGGUUAUCACAAAAAUUCAUGAGGGAAAACCAAUCACGCUUUUUGUAAAAAAAAACUAUUCUAAACCGAUUUUUAUGUCGUUUGUUAUAUGAGCUUCGCGGGGUUGCUAUCAACCAAGUUAAAGUUUGCCUUACUGUUCAAUCCAAAAUUAGAGUUAAUGUUCUAGUUGAGUUUAUAGCCUUUAUAGUUACUAUUCAAGUUCAGAUUCAAUUCGAGUAAGACUUCAAGUUUAGUCACAUGUAAAGGUAGAUUUAAGUUGUACUUCGAGUUCACCUCUUUUCGAGUAGUAUUUCGAAAUAUAUAAAAUGAGUUAGCAUUUUCAUUUUCGUCUUAGAUUAAGGUCUUAUGUUGGUAUUUCGACAAGGGCUAGACGGGCAGAACUAAAGUCAGUUAAAAUCGAAAAUAGACGUACACAAAACAUUAUUUUUUAACGUAAAUAAAAUAUUCUCCGCCCUAUUAUUUUAUCAGCUAGAUGUUCAAUAAAAAUUUAUAUAUACAACUAUUCAAGAUAAAAUCCUUGCAUCGUCACAAAGGGGAGGCGAAAGGUAAUACAGAGUCAUUCAAACUCAUUAGUUGAGAACGAACUGACAAUGUAAUAAGAGACGGAAGAAUUUUGUCAUAACUGUUUGUAUAAAAUAUAAUUAAAAUGGAAUUUGGCAAUGUGUUAUAGCGACCAAAUAGCAAAAGACCACGGAAUUCCACCGAUGGGGCUUCAUCUCAGCGUGAAAAUUACGUAACCUGAAGGGCCUAUAGGUGGCCUCUCAACAAAAAUAUGUGCUAGUUUAGUGAUAAUGGACGUCAAACUUCAAAACAUAUAAAUGAACUAAAAUUUAAGAACAUACAAGACUAACAAAGGCCACAGGCUCCUGACUUUAGACAGGCGAAAGUGCGGCAGGUUAAACAUGUUUUGUGAGAUCUCAACCCUCCUCUCAUACCUCUUGCAAAUGUAAAAUAAAUAAACGAUCUGCAAUACGCACGAUAAAACCCAGUUUAAAAGAUUCCUGAGAGCGAUGUCAUAAUAGGUUACAAAAGAAACUAAGUAAAAUUACAAUGAUACAUAAAAAUUACUGAAAUGACAGCUCCAAUCCUCUAUUAAACUGAUUAAAAGAUAAUGUGUGUUUCAUAGCAAAAUAACACACAAUCCCUCAAGUUAGGUGUUCGGUAUUAUAUCAUCAUAUUUAUAUUUAUAUUUAAAAAAAUUUCUGUUUAGUAUUAAAUUUAUAUUAAGAUCCAUUUUGUUACAUCUUGUGAUCAAUUUUAUUUGGCAAUCGCUAAUGGCAGUCAGCAGGGUUAAAGAACAUCAGUCAAAUGCGUUUUGUUUAAAUAUACUUUUUCACUUUUUUGGUCUUUUUGAAUUCGAAAAUGUUGUUUGUGCUGUUUUCAGACCCUUCUACAACGAAACUUGUUUUACAUGCACACGUAUAAAAAUUGCGGUUUUUAUCCAACGCAAUCAUUAGUUUAACAUGAUUUUCAAUUUAGACUCGUUUAUAUUUUUCGUUGGGCUUGUAUCAUUUUUCCUCCGGUUUUAUGAUCCGUUCAUCCUAUAUUGACUCUUAAAAUUAAGAGUCUAUCUAAAAAUGAGGUAUUUCUAAAAAUGAGGGACUUUUUUUUUGGCCUUCAAAUAGCGGCCUAACAUACGAAGAGACAUUUAUUGUCGAAAUUCGGAUCUGGUGUACUAAAAACAUAUUGACACCUUGAUUGCGUUGGAUAAAAACUGCAAUUUUUAUACGUGUGCAUGUAACAAAUUUCGUUGUAGAAGGGUCUAAAUACAGCACAAACAACAUUUUCCAAAAGACCAAAAAAGUGAAAAAGUAUAUUUAAACAAAACGCAUUUGACUAACAGGUCGAACAACUGAUGUUCUUUAACCCUGCUGACUGCCAUUUUAUUGCCAAAUAAAAUUGAUCACAAGAUUUAACAAAAUGGAUCUUAAUAUAAAUUUAAUACUAAACAGAAAACAAUUAACCUGGGCCACGAUGUUAUGCCACAAACAUAAGUUGUCAAUAUUUUUUUUAUUUUUUUUUUUUUGUACACCAGAUCCGGUUUGGAGUUAAUUUUUAUAUGUGUGCAUUUAAAACAAAUUUCAUUUUAGAAGGGUCUAAUUACAUCACAUACAACAUUUUCCAAAAGACAAAAAAACUGAAAAAGUGUAUUUAAACAAAACGCAUUUGAGUAACAGGCCGAAUAACUAAUGUUCUUAAACCCUUCUGACUGCCAUUUGCGGUUGCCACAUAAAUUGAUCACAAGAUGUAACAAAAUGGAUCUUGAUAUUAAUUUAAUAAUAAACAGAAAACAAUAAACUUGCGGCAAAGAUGUUAUACUACAAACAGGAGGUGUACAUUUUUUUGUUCACCAGAUCCGGAUUUCGACAAUAAAUGUCUCUUCUGUGAUGUUAGGAAUCGAAACGGUAUUUGGAAGGCCAUGUAAUUUACCUUAAUUUAUGAUAGAUUGCAAGCGAUUUGGUGUCACGAUAUCUCAGAAGCAUGGGUUCGAAUUCCGGCAAGGGAAGAACAAAAAUGUGCGAAAGCAAAUUUACAGAUCUAACAUUGUUGGGUUGAUGUUUAUACGAGUUCUAUAUAUAUACAUUUAUAUAGAUACGAAAAGAACAUAACCCGUAUCAAGCCAAUAACUUGUUUUAGAAUAAAGGUGUUUAUUUAUUAUGCAACCACCCCAUGCGUAAAUCAAUAUUAACACAUGUACCACAAUAUGCCAUAUUUUAUUCCACGAAACAUUUGACAACUUACACUCAUUCUUUCUUCGUCGGAUAGCCAGUUGUUACACUGGUCUUAAACUAUUAUAAAUAAAUUAUUCCUCUCAAAUUCACUCGACUCUAGAUCUAUUUGGCCUUUUAAAAUAUUUUUUGAAUUCGAGCGAUACUGAUGAGUCUUUGUAGACGAAACGGGGUCUGGCGUAAAUAUAAAAUUUUAAUCCUGGUAUCUAUGAUGAGUUUAUUAGCCCAAGAAUGUAUGAUUUGAGGCAAUAUUUGACCCACUGUUUUUGUUACAUAGCGCAAUACUAACUGCUUGAUAAUUAUCAUAUCUACUUCAAGGCUGAACAAUAUCAUAUUGAUAUUGUACUUUCUGCAGUACAGAAUACUUCUGUUUUCAAUUAACAAUAAUUUAACAGAUGAACACCAAAACAGAUUUUUUGGCGAACAAUUCUUUUAUUAUGUGAAAAAUAUAAUAAGUUGUCUGAUUUAUCUAUCGCACUGAUAUUGAGAUAUAUAGUUAUCAAAGGAACCAGGAUUAUAAUUUAGUACGCCAGACGCGCGUUUCGUCUACAUAAGACUCAUCAGUGAUGCUCAUAUCAAAAUCUUUAUAAAGCCAAACAAGUAAAAAGUUGAAGAGCAUUGAAGAUCCACAAUUCCAAAUAAUUGUGCCAAAUACGGCUAAGGUUAUCUAUGCCUGGGAUAAGAAAAUCCUUAUUUGUUCGAUUAAUUAAAAGUUUUGUAAACAUUAUUGAUUCAUGUCAACACCGAAGUGUUGACUACUGGGCUGGUGAUACCCUCGGGGACGAAACGUCCGCCAGCAGUGGCAUCGACCCAGUGGUGUAACAGUUAUCAAAGGUACCAGGAUUAUAAUUUAGUACGCCACAUAAGACUCAUUAGUGACGCUCAUAUCAAAAGAUUUAUAAAGCCAAACAAUUAAAAAGUUGAAGAGCAUUGAGGAUUCAAAAUUCCAAAUAAUUGUGCCAAAUACAGCUUCGGUAAUCUAUGCCUGGGAUAAGAACAUCCUUAGUUUUUCGAAAAAUUCAAGGUUUUGUAAACAUGAAAUUUAUAGAAAGGUCUGUUACCUAUUAUUUUUGUAUAUGCUGGUUAUAUGGGGGAACAAAACAAAAAUUUAAACGGUUGUGAUAUAUAAUAUACUAUUAUAACAUUGCUUAUUAAUCGGUACGGAUUGAAUGUAAUGUGAGUUUAUCUAUAAUGUGAAGUACAUACAAUUACUUGAUAAGAUAAUGACAUUUAACAAUAUCUUACCUCGAUGUAUCUAUUCUAAAUUGAUUCAUGAGAAUAGAAUAUUAGCUAUAUGUAUUUACUUUGAUUUUAUUUUUUCAGACAUUUAAAUGGAAACAAUCUGACAUUUGUCAAGAAUGACACUUUUAAACAUAACAUCAACCUAAUAUAUCUGUA
rnacentral:lncRNA from 1 species